UAGGGAAUCUUCGGCAAUGGACGGAAGUCUGACCGAGCAACGCCGCGUGAGUGUUGAAGGUUUUCGGAUCGUAAAGCUCUGUUGUAAGAGAAGAACGAGCGUGAGAGUGGAAAGUUCACACUGUGACGGUAUCUUACCAGAAAGGGACGGCUAACUACGUGCCAGCAGCCGCGGUAAUACGUAGGUCCCGAGCGUUGUCCGGAUUUAUUGGGCGUAAAGCGAGCGCAGGCGGUUAGAUAAGUCUGAAGUUAAAGGCUGUGGCUUAACCAUAGUACGCUUUGGAAACUGUUUAACUUGAGUGCAAGAGGGGAGAGUGGAAUUCCAUGUGUAGCGGUGAAAUGCGUAAAUAUAUGGAGGAACACCGGUGGCGAAAGCGGCUCUCUGGCUUGUAACUGACGCUGAGGCUCGAAAGCGUGGGGAGCAAACAGGAUUAGAUACCCUGGUAGUCCACGCCGUAAACGAUGAGUGCUAGGUGUUANACCCUUUCCGAGGUUUAGUGCCGCAGCUAACGCAUUAAGCACUCCGCCUGGNGAGUGCGACCGCAAGGUUG
rnacentral:rRNA from 1 species